ACUUGCAGCCCAGGAACAGCCAGUGCAUCCAGAACCAGCUGACCACCAGCAUGAUGAGGGAUAUGGGGAAGCUGAAGAGGAACCAGGUGCCGAAGUUCACCACCUCUGCGGCUGGAUACUGGCUGGAGGGUAAAGAACCAGUGGAAUCAUGCCAGGAAGACCAUUAUUCGUUCAGUUGCCUUACAGUCUUAGGACACUCAAAUAAAAUAUCUGCAGUGUCCCUGAAGCACCUUUGAAGACAGGUUUGAGGACCUCUGAUCUAUAUCAACCCCCAGCUUUUCUAGUUGAAGACACUGGGGGCUCAGGCAUUGGACUGCGUUGCUACAGUCAAAGACAGGGUCUCACUAUGUUGUCCAGGCUGGGCUCAAAUUCCUGGGCCACAGCAAUCCUCCUGCCUCAGCCUCCUCAGUAGCUGGAACUGUAUGUGCACACCACUGUGCCCAGCGGAAGUCCAUCAUUUUAUUGGCCUUUUACACCUCUCAUGAAAAGAUGUAAAACCAGACUUGGGGGGGUGAGACAUUGGCUGGAGCUUGGCAGUGAUGUGUGUUUGUAUGUGGAAGGGGAUACUUUGCCCGCCCUCGCAGCCAGCGAUUCUGUGAGUACCAUGGCACUCCUUGCUUUGAUGCCAAGUCACCAUAGUUAUCCGUGACCCAGUAGAGGUGAAUGUUUGGAGCUCACAGUUCUUCCCACUACCUGUCAACAUGCUGAGGGACUAGCCCCCAAAAUCACAGAAGUGUUCCUUGUCACUGUUUGUGUGCACUUUUCCAGCUGACAUCUUCAAGAGUCAACACUUGGAGAAAAACACAAACAAGGAUAACCCUCCAGUGAUUUCUCUUUGGCUUUGAGAACAUUGUGCAAUGUGUGCCUGUACAGACAUGUCCUAGUUUCCAUAAGAUAAGCCAACAUAAAGACGACUGUGUUUAUUAUUUUAGGUGGAAUUACUAACUUUGCACAAUCUGGGGACAGUACGUUUAUCACAUGGACUCAGUCAGCUGACAGCGACCUGACUGCCAAAUCUCCACACACCCGGGUAACAGUGCCUCAGGGUGGGGGGCAACUUGCUGAUUGAUGAGGUAAAUAGGGAGGAGUAGAAAUGUGAGAGGAUAAAAAUUCUUGCAGAGGCUGGGUGUGGUGGAUCACACCUGUAAUCCCAGCACUUCGGGAGGCCGAGGCAGGCAGAUCACCUGAAGUCGGGAGUUUGAGACCAGCCUGACCAACAUGGAGAAACCCUGUCUUUACUAAAAAAUACAAAAUUGGCCAGGCAUAGUGGCAUAUGCCUAUAAUUCCAGCUACUUGGGAGGCUGAGGCAGGAGAAUGGCUUGAACCCAGGAGGCGGAGGUUGUGGUGAGCCAAGAUGGUGCUGUUGCACUCCAGCCUGGGCAACAAGAGCAAACCUCUGUCUAAAAAAAAAAAUUUUUUUUUUCAGAUAGGAUACAGAGAUUUUAAAGAGCCACAGAGUCUCCAUGUGAUGUGACAAAAUGCCACUGUGUGCCUGGGAGGUUGAAUGUAGGCACAAGAUUAUUACUGAGCUAGGGGGUGGAUAAAGCUGUAGUUGGCAGACCUGUUUGACAAUCUGGGAGACAGGAACAUGCUUUGAAGCGUAACCUAUAGUCGUCUAAAUGACUCAUGUUGAGAACCAAUACUAUAUUACUUAUUUAUACUCUUGGUGACUCCCAUAGGAGUCAGGGCAGCUUACAUAAAAUAUUGCAAGAAAGUUGUAAACUAGAGGGAGGUGAGCAGGAUAUUCCAAAAGGGGAGGUAUAGGCAGGGGAUCCAAAUGGAGCAGCAGUGAAGCUAACACAAAACUCAGCCUUGACACUGCAUCACGUUCCCCCGGGGUGGGAUGCCCCCCUGCAUCACAGUCAGAUGCUGUGUCUCUAACCAGUUCUGUGGUCUGAACUGAUAACAGAAACUCAGGGUGGAUGGGAAGAAACAUUCAUGUCUCCUUCUGUGACAAAGGAGAAGACAGCCAUUUUUGGCCCAGCCUGUUCCCUGAUACACAGGAAACAGGUUGGUAAAACAUUGCUAUUGGUCCAUCCUGUUUUACCUAAUGGGCCCCUGUAUGAUGUAAGCUGCUGCCCUUGCAGCCUAGGUAGAUGGGAAAGUUUUUUGGAUAACAACAGCAAGGUCACAGAUUCAGAUUUCUAUUCCAUGGUCACAGACCCUCUGCCUGGAGGGGAAGUGGGGGUCCUAGGCUCUGGUAUCAGCCCAUCCCUGUUGGUAAAAAAGCAGGCUGAAGUGGACGUCCUGCAGUGACCUGAAACCACUGUCCUGGUGGCACACUGGGAGCUAGAAGGAUGCCCUAUAGCCUGGCAUCCCAAAUGAGACUUACAUGCCC